GGUUAAGCGACUAAGCGUACACGGUGGAUGCCCUGGCAGUCAGAGGCGAUGAAGGACGUGCUAAUCUGCGAAAAGCGUCGGUAAGGUGAUAUGAACCGUUAUAGCCGGCGAUGUCCGAAUGGGGAAACCCAGUGCAAUUCGUUGCACUAUCGUUAACUGAAUACAUAGGUUAACGAGGCGAACCGGGGGAACUGAAACAUCUAAGUACCCCGAGGAAAAGAAAUCAACCGAGAUUCCCCCAGUAGCGGCGAGCGAACGGGGAGCAGCCCGGAGUCUGAAUCAGCUUGUGUGUUAGUGGAAGCGUCUGGAAAGUCGCAGGGUACAGGGUGAUACUCCCGUACACUAAAACACACAGGCUGUGAACUCGAAGAGUAGGGCGGGACACGUGGUAUCCUGUCUGAAUAUGGGGGGACCAUCCUCCAAGGCUAAAUACUCCUGACUGACCGAUAGUGAACCAGUACCGUGAGGGAAAGGCGAAAAGAACCCCGGCGAGGGGAGUGAAAAAGAACCUGAAACCGUGUACGUACAAGCAGUAGGAGCCCACUAGUUGGGUGACUGCGUACCUUUUGUAUAAUGGGUCAGCGACUUAUAUUCUGUAGCAAGGUUAACCGUAUAGGGGAGCCGCAGGGAAACCGAGUCUUAACUGGGCGUUAAGUUGCAGGGUAUAGACCCGAAACCCGGUGAUCUAGCCAUGGGCAGGUUGAAGGUUGGGUAACACUAACUGGAGGACCGAACCGACUAAUGUUGAAAAAUUAGCGGAUGACUUGUGGCUGGGGGUGAAAGGCCAAUCAAACCGGGAGAUAGCUGGUUCUCCCCGAAAGCUAUUUAGGUAGCGCCUCGUGAACUCAUCUUCGGGGGUAGAGCACUGUUUCGGCUAGGGGGUCAUCCCGACUUACCAACCCGAUGCAAACUACGAAUACCGAAGAAUGUUAUCACGGGAGACACACGGCGGGUGCUAACGUCCGUCGUGAAGAGGGAAACAACCCAGACCGCCAGCUAAGGUCCCAAAGUCAUGGUUAAGUGGGAAACGAUGUGGGAAGGCCCAGACAGCCAGGAUGUUGGCUUAGAAGCAGCCAUCAUUUAAAGAAAGCGUAAUAGCUCACUGGUCGAGUCGGCCUGCGCGGAAGAUGUAACGGGGCUAAACCAUGCACCGAAGCUGCGGCAGCGACACUAUGUGUUGUUGGGUAGGGGAGCGUUCUGUAAGCCGUUGAAGGUGGCCUGUGAGGGUUGCUGGAGGUAUCAGAAGUGCGAAUGCUGACAUAAGUAACGAUAAUGCGGGUGAAAAACCCGCACGCCGGAAGACCAAGGGUUCCUGUCCAACGUUAAUCGGGGCAGGGUGAGUCGACCCCUAAGGCGAGGCCGAAAGGCGUAGUCGAUGGGAAACAGGUUAAUAUUCCUGUACUUGGUGUUACUGCGAAGGGGGGACGGAGAAGGCUAUGUUGGCCGGGCGACGGUUGUCCCGGUUUAAGCAUGUAGGCGGAUGUUCCAGGUAAAUCCGGAACGUCACUAACGCUGAGGUGUGAUGACGAGGCACUACGGUGCUGAAGUGACAAAUGCCCUGCUUCCAGGAAAAGCCUCUAAGCAUCAGGUAACAUCAAAUCGUACCCCAAACCGACACAGGUGGUCAGGUAGAGAAUACCAAGGCGCUUGAGAGAACUCGGGUGAAGGAACUAGGCAAAAUGGUGCCGUAACUUCGGGAGAAGGCACGCUGAUGGUAAGUGAAGUGACUUGCUCAUGGAGCUGAAAUCAGUCGAAGAUACCAGCUGGCUGCAACUGUUUAUUAAAAACACAGCACUGUGCAAACACGAAAGUGGACGUAUACGGUGUGACGCCUGCCCGGUGCCGGAAGGUUAAUUGAUGGGGUUAUCCUCACGGAGAAGCUCUUGAUCGAAGCCCCGGUAAACGGCGGCCGUAACUAUAACGGUCCUAAGGUAGCGAAAUUCCUUGUCGGGUAAGUUCCGACCUGCACGAAUGGCGUAAUGAUGGCCAGGCUGUCUCCACCCGAGACUCAGUGAAAUUGAACUCGCUGUGAAGAUGCAGUGUACCCGCGGCAAGACGGAAAGACCCCGUGAACCUUUACUAUAGCUUGACACUGAACACUGGUCCUUGAUGUGUAGGAUAGGUGGGAGGCUUUGAAGUGUGGACGCCAGUCUGCAUGGAGCCAUCCUUGAAAUACCACCCUUUAAUGGCUGGUGUUCUAACGUGGGCCCCUAAUCGGGGUUGCGGACAGUGUCUGGUGGGUAGUUUGACUGGGGCGGUCUCCUCCUAAAGAGUAACGGAGGAGCACGAAGGUCAGCUAAUCCUGGUCGGACAUCAGGAGGUUAGUGCAAUGGCAUAAGCUGGCUUGACUGCGAGCGUGACGGCGCGAGCAGGUGCGAAAGCAGGUCAUAGUGAUCCGGUGGUUCUGAAUGGAAGGGCCAUCGCUCAACGGAUAAAAGGUACUCCGGGGAUAACAGGCUGAUACCGCCCAAGAGUUCAUAUCGACGGCGGUGUUUGGCACCUCGAUGUCGGCUCAUCACAUCCUGGGGCUGAAGUAGGUCCCAAGGGUAUGGCUGUUCGCCAUUUAAAGUGGUACGCGAGCUGGGUUUAGAACGUCGUGAGACAGUUCGGUCCCUAUCUGCCGUGGGCGCUGGAGAAUUGAGGGGGGCUGCUCCUAGUACGAGAGGACCGGAGUGGACGCAUCACUGGUGUUCGGGUUGUCAUGCCAAUGGCAUUGCCCGGUAGCUAAAUGCGGAAGAGAUAAGUGCUGAAAGCAUCUAAGCACGAAACUUGCCCCGAGAUGAGUUCUCCCUGACUCCUUGAGAGUCCUGAAGGAACGUUGAAGACGACGACGUUGAUAGGCCGGGUGUGUAAGCGCAGCGAUGCGUUGAGCUAACCGGUACUAAUGAACCGUGAGGCUUAACCUU
rnacentral:rRNA from 1 species